rnacentral:rRNA from 1 species
GAUGAACGCUGGCGGCGUGCCUAAUACAUGCAAGUCGAGCGAACGGACGAGAAGCUUGCGUCUCUGAUGUUAGCGGCGGACGGGUGAGUAACACGUGGAUAACCUACCUAUAAGACGGGGAUAACUUCGGGAAACCGGAGCUAAUACCGGAUAAGAUUUUGAACCGCAUGGGUCAAAAGUGAAAGACGGUCUUGCUGGCACUUAUAGAUGGAUCCGCGCUGCAUUAGCUAGUUGGUAAGGUAACGGCUUACCAAGGCAACGAGGCAUAGCCGACCUGAUAGGGUGGUCGGCCACACUGGAACUGAGACACGCUCCAUACUCCUGCGGGAGGCAGCAGUAGGGAAUCUUCCGCAGUGGGCGAAAGCCUGACGGAACAACGCCGCGUGAGUGAUGAAGGUCUUCGGAUCGUAAAACUCUGUUAUUAGGUGAGAACAUAUGUGUACGUAACUGUGCACAUCUUGACGGUACCUAGUCAGAAAGCCCCGGCUAACUACGUG